rnacentral:rRNA from 1 species
AAUGGGGGCAACCCUGAUCCAGCAAUGCCGCGUGUGUGAAGAAGGUCUUCGGAUUGUAAAGCUCUUUCGGCGGGGACGAUGAUGACGGUACCCGGAGAAGAAGCCCCGGCUAACUUCGUGCCAGCAGCCGCGGUAAUACGAAGGGGGCUAGCGUUGCUCGGAAUGACUGGGCGUAAAGGGCGUGUAGGCGGUUUGUACAGUCAGAUGUGAAAUCCCCGGGCUUAACCUGGGAGCUGCAUUUGAUACGUGCAGACUAGAGUGUGAUAGAGGGUUGUGGAAUUCCCAGUGUAGAGGUGAAAUUCGUAGAUAUUGGGAAGAACACCGGUGGCGAAGGCGGCUCCCUGGCUCAUUACUGACGCUGAGGCGCGAAAGCGUGGGGAGCAAACAGGAUUAGAUACCCUGGUAGUCCACGCUGUAAACGAUGUGUGCUAGAUGUUGGGUGCUUACUCAUUCAGUGGUCGUACUUAACGCGUUAAGCACACCGCCUGGGGAGUUACGGCCGCAAGGUUGAAACUCAAAGGAAUUGACGG